rnacentral:rRNA from 2 species
AAAUUGAAGAGUUUGAUCAUGGCUCAGAUUGAACGCUGGCGGCAGGCCUAACACAUGCAAGUCGAACGGUAACAGGAAACAGCUUGCUGUUUCGCUGACGAGUGGCGGACGG